GCGCUUCCUCUCCGCCCCUCGCGGGAAGCCCCACCCUCAGGCCUGGGGCCAAUCACAGAGGCAGGAGUCCGGGAGCGGCUCCGGUCACCUCCGAGACCCACUCUGUACGGUGCAGGGAGAGGUGGUGAAUCGAGCAGCUCAGACCUGGGGCACCGUGAGGGCUUCCAGUGGAGAAGACUUACUUCAGCUUGGCUGCCUGGGUAGGCUCUAAUAUGAGACGCAGCUGUUCACACAACUGUUGUGAAAGAGGCGCAGUUAAGACCAGGUAACUCUGCCACAUCUCAGCUGCAGCCUUCUCCUGUGACAACAGAAUGUUCAAGUCAUCUGGAAGGUCCAAGGCCUCAGGUUCUGGCAGCUUUUCCUGAUUGCCAUGGCUUCCCUCAAGGGCACCAUGAGCCCCUGCAGCCAGCAAGAACACCAGUCCGCGGCUCGGUUUAGUCAGGAGAGGAAUCGCUGCAACAGAUUAUGGACUUCUGGCUUGGUGCAGAUGGUGACAGCACACACAGCUGCUGAGGUUUUCAGUUGCAGUUAAGCAGAAUAACAAACUUGUUUCAAAAGAUUACAAUAGGCUCCAUAUUGGGAACGUGUAAUUACCUAGAUAAAGCAUUUAUGUUUUCAAAAACAAGAAUGAAGCGAUGAUUUAUAAACUCAAACCUUGUUCUUCAAGCUCCCCAUCAUGCAUUUUCCCAUCAAAGUCUUCUGACAUCUCAAUGGCAUUAUCUUCUCCCUUAAUAUCCGAUCUUGAGUCAGGAUCCUCUUUGUCUUUUUCCUGACCCUUCUGAAAUGUGUCUUCCACCUAUAUCAAAAUAGAAAAUGUAAGCAAAUGCUGUAACUUCACUAAUGUUUACUUCUGCUCUGGAAUAUAAACGCCAAGGUUAAUAGUGUAAAAAUAUUUCUUUCUGGGCACACACACCAACACACAAAAAAAGGAGAACCAACAGUGAUAGCCAUAUGGAAUAAUUUGUAUAAGUUUGUUUUACAUUUCUGGAGUUAAUUCCCAUUUUAUUGCAUUUGUAAUCAGAGAAUAUGGAAUUUUGUUCAGGUUUUUGAAAUUCUUGGAAAUUGUAAUAAAAAAAAAUUCCAGAAACA